rnacentral:lncRNA from 1 species
UCUCACCAGUUCCUGGGAAUGCGAUUCAGCCACUGGGUGAGGACACUGAAACUCAGAGAGGUUAAGCCAUUUUCCCAAGGACACACAGCAAAAUGGUGUUAGAGCUAGGAAUUGAAUCCAGGUCUUUCUAACUAUUCUCUGCUGAAAUACAUCAGCCCUUGUGGCUUCUGAGAUUUAACAUUGUGACUUUGUGUAUUGAAGCGAAGCAUCAAUACAAGGGACCACCAAAUCUGUAUGUCAUUGGGUCAAAGCAUCGUAGAACCACAGAUGUGAAAGAACUGCGGAGAGGACGCUCUCCAGGAGGGACAUCAUGAACUCAACCCGGGCGAGAGACUAGGCUGCGACCAGGCUUUCCAACCCACGCAGCUUCCGCUUCCAUCAAGCCCAUCCUAACCACAACGAACACAAGGCAAGGCAAACAAGC